rnacentral:rRNA from 1 species
UACGGGGGGAGCAAGCGUUGUUCGGAUUUACUGGGCGUAAAGGGCGCGUAGGCGGCGCAACAAGUCACUUGUGAAAUCUCCGGGCUUAACUCGGAACGGUCAAGUGAUACUGUUGUGCUAGAGUGCGGAAGGGGCAACUGGAAUUCUCGGUGUAGCGGUGAAAUGCGUAGAUAUCGAGAGGAACACCUGCGGCGAAGGCGGGUUGCUGGGCCGACACUGACGCUGAUGCGCGAAAGCGUGGGGAGCGAACAGG